AGCGAACGCUGGCGGCAGGCCUAACACAUGCAAGUCGAACGAACUCUUCGGAGUUAGUGGCGGACGGGUGAGUAACACGUGGGAACGUGCCUUUAGGUUCGGAAUAACUCAGGGAAACUUGUGCUAAUACCGAAUGUGCCCUUCGGGGAAAGAUUUAUCGCCUUUAGAGCGGCCCGCGUCUGAUUAGCUUGUUGGGGGGGUAAUGGCCCACCAAGGCGACGAUAAGUAGCUGGUCUGAGAGGAUGACCAGCCACAUUGGGACUGAGACACGGCCCAAACUCCUACGGGAGGCAGCAGUGGGGAAUCUUGCGCAAUGGGCGAAAGCCUGACGCAGCCAUGCCGCGUGGAUGAUGAAGGUCUUAGGAUUGUAAAAUCCUUUCACCGGUGAAGAUAAUGACUGUAGCCGGAGAAGAAGCCCCGGCUAACUUCGUGCCAGCCGCCGCCGUAA
rnacentral:rRNA from 1 species